rnacentral:rRNA from 1 species
GGAAAAUCCUCCAAAGAGGGCAUGCCAAUUGGCGCUCUGUCAUAAAUUCGCACUCGCGCCAACCAUAUUAAGACGUGCUUUUUAAAAUAAAUGGCAGAAGUUUCAUCCUAACAAAUUCCUGGACUGCUAUCUAUCUUGAGUUGGGUGGUUUGGCUACAGAUUUCCAUAGAGAGGAAAUGGUUUGCCACCUCUCAUGGAAGCUUCCUUGAUGAUAUGGCCAACCCCAUGAUUAUUGGUUAUAAUCCCAACUCCCCUUCCUCCAUCUAUAAAAGCUUGCUCAUUUCCUUUGCAAGCUAGUUUUUUAGUUUUUAGUUCCAGAGUUUCAGAAUUCCCAAAUUCCCAAGAGCUUCAUGCUGCAAGAGCCUUCUUGAUUCCCUUAAGGCCAAAUCCAAGCAAAGAGACUAUUGUCCAAGAUCCAAAGAGAGAGGCUUGUCCUUAUUCUCAACAGGCUUUGCGAGACAUGUUCUGUUGAUGACCCGCCAAAGGAGAAUCCAACGUUAGAACAUUGGUUGUACUCUCCUUUGAUUGAUUAUUAAUGAACGACUAUUGGUUAUGGUUCCACUCUUGUUAUUAUUUAUGAUGAUGAUGAGUUAUGUCUUUUCUGACUGACAUAUAGUUGUGUAUACUAGAUUUUAUGCUUGUGUUUGUAUUGUUUCUUGUAUGUGCAGGUUUCAAUUCAUGAAGAUUGUGAGGAUUGUGAUCUGCUGGAGCAGGAACGAGAGCACCACCUCUCCUACAAACAAUAGCAUUGGAAACUAGGUAGGCCUUCAUUGCUGGUCUGUUUAUUUGCAAUUAGGAACUUGUGCUGUAGCGUUUGACGAUUGUUGCUAGACCCAGUCUGGGCUAGUAGGGAUUGCCUCUGUCUGCAGAGGGGAUUUACCUCUUCAACACCUAGAUCCCACAAAUGGUGUUGGUUGAUUAAGACAGUAGGACGGCGGUCAUGGAAGUUGAAAUCUGCUAAGGAGUGUGUAACAACUCACCUGCCGAAUCAACUAGCCCCGAAAAUGGAUGGCGCUGAAGCGUGCAACCUAUACUCAACCGUCGGAGCAAUUGCCUGGCUCUGAUGAGUAGGAGGAUGCGGGGGUUGUUGAGAAACCUCAAGCGUGAGCUUGGGUAGAUCGGCCCCCGGUGCAGACCUUGGUGGUAGUAGCAAAUAUUCAAAUGAGAACUUUGAAGACUGAAGUGGGGAAAGGUUCCAUGUGAACAACACUUGGACAUGGGUUAGUUGAUCCUAAGAGAUGAGGAAGCCUUGUAUCAAGGGUACACUCUACAUGAGCAUCGAAAGGGAAUCAGGUUAAUAUUCUCAAAUCGGGACAUGGUGGUGGGUGGAAACGUUAGGAAAUUCGGAGACGUCGUCGAGAGCCCCGGGAAGAGUUGUCUUUUCUUUUUAACAGCUUUCCCACCCUAGAAUUGGUUCACCCGGAGAUAGGGUCUAACAACUGGAAGAACACCGCACAUCUUGCGGUGUCCAGUGCACCCUUGGCAUCCCUUGAAAAUCUAGAGGAAUGAGUAGCGUUCAUGUCCGGUCGUACUCAUAACCGCAUCAAGUCUGCAAGGUGAACAACCUCUGGUCAAUAGCACAAUGUAGGUAAGGGAAGUCGGCAAAACGGAUCCGUAACUUCGGGAAAAGGAUUGGCUUUGAGGGCUAGGCCUAGGGGUCUGUGCCCUCAACUCGUGGGUUGUCAGCAGUCUACCCGAGCUGCUCUCAUGGCGAGGGUGGGCUGUCGCGUGCCGAUUGGGAUACGGGUGCAGAAUGCCCCCUGCCAGGGGCUUUUCCCUAGGCGUCGAACAGUCGACUCAGAACUGGUACGGACAUGGGGAAUUCGACUGUUUAAUUAAAACAAAGCAUUGCGAUGGUCCCUGUGAAUGCUGAAACAAUGUGAUUGAUGCCCAGUGCUCUGAAUGUCAAAGUGAAGAAAUUCAACCAAGCACGGGUAAACGGCGGGAGUAACGAUGACUCUCUUAAGGUAGCCAAAUCCCUCAUCAUCUAAUUAGUGACACACAUGAAUGGAUUAAUGAGAUUCCCACUAUUCCUAUCUACUAUCUAGCGAAACCAUAGCCAAGGGAACAGGCUUGGCAGAAUCAGCAAGGAAAGAAGACCCUAUUGAGCUUGACUCUAGUCCGACUUUGUGAAAUGACUUGAGAGGUGUCGAAUAAGUGUGAGCCAUUUUCGGCGCAAGUGAAAUACCACUACUUUUAACGUUAUUUUACUUAUUCCAUGGGGCAGAGAUGGGGCAUUUCCCCUCUUUUUGGACUUAAGGCACGUUUCGGCGGGUCGAUCCAAGCGGAAGACAUUGUCAGGUGGGGAGUUUGGCUGGGGCGGCACAUCCGUUAAAAGAUAACACAGGUGUCCUAAGAUGAGCUCAACGAGAACAAAAAACUCGUGUGGAACAAAAAGGUAAAAGCUCAUUUGAUUUUGAUUUUCAGUGUGAAUACAAACCAUGAAAGCGUGGCCUAUCGAUCCUUUACAUUUUUGAAAUUUGAAUCUAGAGGUGUCCGAAAAGUUACCAUAGGGAUAACUGGCUUGUGGCAGCCAAUUGUUCAUAGCGACAUUGCUUUUUGAUCCUUUGAUCUUGACUCUUCCUGUCAUUGUGAAGCAGAAUUCACCAAGUGUUGGAUUGUUCAGCCACCAAUAGGGAAUGUGAGCUAGGUUUAGACCGUCGUGAGACAGGUUAGUUUUACCCUACUGAUGAACCGCACUACAAUAGUAAUUCAACUUAGUACGAGAGGAACCAUUGAUUCACACAAUUGGUCAUUGCGCUUGGUUGAAAAUCCAGUGGCGCGAAGCUACCAUGUGUCAGAUUAUGAUUGAACACCUCUAAGUCAGAAUCCAUGCUAGAAGCGGUACAUGUCACUCUUCGACUGUAUCUCGACCCACAAUAGGGGCAUUUCUUUAUCGCCCCCAGGGGCCCGUGUCAUUUGCAAACUGUGAUCGUGAAGCAUCUCGGUCGGGGCAGCUUUGAAGUUCAAUUCCAAAUGGUCGUUGAGAAGAAUCCUUUGCAGAUGACUUAAAUACAUGACGGGGUAUUGUAAGUGGUAGAGUGGCCUUGCUGCCAUGAUCCACUAAGAUUCAGCCCUCGGUUGCCUCGAUUCAGAGCUUCGCUC